GUGGAAGAUGAUGGUAUAACCACUGAUGUAGAGAAAAACGGACCGCCUCCAAACCCAAAAUCUAAGAGGAACGCCAAUUCUGCGAAGUCAGGUACCUUGCCCAAGAAAGCGAAGCCGUAGACACUUGGACGAUGUGUUUGUGGGCGGCGUAUGUAUAUAAGGUCUUCGUCCGCGCUGCCUUAUCUUCAGCUAUGGUGCCUUCUGCAAGCAUGCCUCACAUGGACCAUCUGAAGAGCUUGUUAGUAUCUUAGUAACAUUCCGUGGCUCGCCCUGUG